rnacentral:rRNA from 1 species
UACGUAGGGUGCGAGCGUUAAUCGGAUUUACUGGGCGUAAAGCGCGCGUAGGCGGUGCGGUAAGUCAGGGGUUAAAGGCUGCAGCUCAACUGCAGUAAGGCCUUUGAUACUAUCGCGCUAGAGUACCAGAGAGGAUGGCGGAAUUCCCGGUGUAGCGGUGAAAUGCGUAGAUAUCGGGAGGAACGCCGGUGGCGAAGGCGGCUUCCUGGCCCGUUACUGACGCUGAGGCACGAAAGCCAGGGGAGCGAACCGG